rnacentral:rRNA from 1 species
UACGUAGGGGGCUAGCGUUGUCCGGAUUUAUUGGGCGUAAAGAGCGUGUAGGCGGCCUGGUAGGUCUGCUGUGAAAACUCGAGGCUCAACCUCGAGAUGUCGGCGGAAACCAUCUAGCUAGAGUCCGGAAGAGGAGAGUGGAAUUCCUGGUGUAGCGGUGAAAUGCGCAGAUAUCAGGAAGAACACCUAUGGCGAAGGCAGCUCUCUGGGACGGUACUGACGCUGAGACGCGAAAGCGUGGGGAGCGAACAGG